rnacentral:miRNA from 1 species
UUUAGGGAUGGGGUAGGAGUAUC